rnacentral:lncRNA from 1 species
GGUUCUUCCCGUCCUCCCCACCCCGGGGACACGCUUCUAGUAGGCCAAACUCCCAGGUGACCCCCGCAAGAAACGCGGUCCGGAGAGGGUCUGGCCCCACUGCUGGGGCAAGGGCUCUAGGCGCCCGGACCCCACGCCCGCAGCCUGCGGAGAACGUGCCGACAAGGACCUGUAGGGCCCCACUCCCCCUCCUCCCUCCCUCGGCGCAGCCCGGCCCAGGGGUCUGUCCUCCCAGGCCCAGGAAAGGAGGAAACCCACUUCCGCCGCGUCCAUGAUCUCCCGCGGCUUCUCCUGACUCUUGCGGCUGGCGCUGGCGCUGGGCAUCGGGACACGGAACUGGGCAGUGGACACCACCCUCCCUCGCAGGCUUCCAGUGUUCUUUCUUGGAACCAUCUGCCAAGCUGUGAGGAAGCUCCAGAGCCAUAUGACAAGACCUGAUGGAGGAUAACUGAGGACUUUGGCCAACAACCCCAGCUGAGCUCCAGUUGGAAUGUGAAUGAGGCCAUUUUGAGUGUUCCAGCCUAUUGGAGCCCUAGCCAACACUCUACAAACUAGAACUGCCUGAUUGACCCGCAGAAUCAUAAGAAAUAAAGUAAUUUGAAGGCCUUCCCUGACUUAAAGUGGAUGCUGCUUUGGAAAGCACUGGAAAAAUGGAUCCUGUCUUUCUUAGCCAAGGACUGGUCUCUUUUCUCCAAUGUGUCCCUAACAGAGUGGUGAGGCUGGCUCUUCCCACCAGUACAGGAAGAUCAUUCCUUAAAAGAAAUAGCCAUAUGGCUUAUAAGGGACUAUAUCUUAAGACUAUGUGUCUUCUGCAGUUCUUUGCAUAGAGUCAACGUUGAAGGACAAGCAACUUCAAAUUUCCAAGCAACAAAAUUAUGUUCGGGUGGUUUUCUGAAAGCGAGAUCUUAAGAACCACCUGUAUCAGAAUCCCAUGAAGAGCUUGUUUAGUGUGCAAAUUUACAGAUUGUCCCCCCUCAGAAAUGCUCAUUUAGGAGUUCCUGUCCUUUGCGGGGACAUGGAUGAAGCUGGAAACCAUCAUUCUCAGCAAACUAACACAGGAACAGAAAACCAAACACUGCAUGUUCUCACUCAAAAGUGGGAGUUGAACAAUGAGAACACAUGGACACAGGGAGGGGAACGUCACACACCAGGGCCUGUCGGGGGUGGGAGGUAAGGGGAGGGAGAGGAUUAGGACAAAUACCUAAUGCAUGUGGGGCUUAAAACCUAGAUGAUGGGUUGAUAGGUGCAGCAAACCACCAUGGACAUGUAUACCUAUGUAACAAACUUGCAUGUUCAGUACAUGUAUCCCAGAACUUAAAGUAAAAUAUAAAACAAUAAUAAAAA